GUGUGUCACAUUGCUUCAGUGCAAUUGAUCAGUUUCAAAAAUCAUGUUAUGGAACAAUUUCUAGACGAUUAAAUAAUUAAGAGCAGCGCAUAACUCAAAAAACAGAAAUCAUAUUCACUUUCCAUGACUUUCACACAAUUCUAUACAUUUUCAUGUACUUUCCAGAGCUAUCACAAUCUUAGGAUUCACUGAUAUUUGACCAUGCACUGUUAAGAAAUAAGAAAUAUAAAAUCAAAGUUCCAAAUAAGCAAGAUUAUAUGAGUAUGUUUUGCAAGAAUAUACUUUUUCAACCUUUUAAUUAUUUGUAAUUACUUUUGAAAUUGACUUCCAAUUUAUGAUUGAAAAUUGUUUCUACACCAAUUUUUGGGUGACAUUUAAUUUCUGAUUUAAAUUUGUCUAAAUUUUUUUUUUUUUUUUUGCAAAAUGUUUUUAAUUUCUGAUUGAAAAUAAUUUUUUACGCCAAUUUUUUUUUUGGUGAAAUUUCUUUAUGUGUAGAAUUAGUUUCUUCACCAAUUUUUGAGUGAAGACACCAGUUCUGUUUGUCCAUGUGGGAACCCUGAUGUUGUUAAAAACACGUGGCGUUCGUCACAUUGCAUGUCAAUACAGAACAUCAUUAACAUUUCUCGGUGGGUUUGUUCACAGAGGUAUGAAAGAGUCCAGCCGUGUGAAGCUGAAGUGGACAAGUGGAAGACGUGCCGCUGCCGCCGGACCCCCGAGGGCCCCUGUGGAGUUUGGAAACACAGACAUAGGGCCGUUCUCUAUCCUGCUUCAGACAGAAGGAAUGUCGAUCUUUCGUGGUCGUUCCUCUCCAUGCCACCAGGUUCAGGAACACAGCCGUCAGCUCUGAGGAAGUCAACGCACAAAAGAGGGAAAUCACCGAGCGCUCGGGAUGCUGGGAUGCCGUCAGAACACUGUGAUUACUGCAGGACUCAACCUACCUAGUGGGAUCCCCCAUUGCUCCUGUUGGUGUCAUGUUGAAGAAACAACCUGCAGGAGAAAGAGACUUUUUUUAAAUAUUAUCAAUUAUUAUUAAUAUUACACUCCCUUCAUUUCCUCACCCUCAUUUCAUUCAAACAAAUAACACACAGGUUCCAAACAACAUAUUGGUCUGAUUGAACAAGAAAUUAAGAUUUGUUAUUAGUAUGAUGAUGAAUUCAUCAAUGAAGUAUCUUUCCCAUUUAUUUCUAAAUAAAUUCAAAAAAAGGUCUUUGUUAAAGAGUUAC
ensembl:lncRNA